UUGGCGCAUUCCGGCGAGUUCGUGCACGCCGUUAGCUUGACAGUUUCCUGCGUUUUCUGUGUUCUUUGUGUGCUUCGCUGUGACAUCUUUGGAAUAUUCCUGCGUGUUGCUCGCUUUUUAUGGACUUGUUGCCUCGAAGAUCGCCAUGAUCGCCUCCGACUCAGCGACAUCAAGGAUUCAAAAUGAGCUGGGAGAGGCCCCAGCUGGAACGGUUCACAUAGGUUGAAGGAGUGCACAUUGAGAAGGUUAUCCUGGCACAGUUUACCAUGGCCUGCCAUGGUAGACCAGGAAAGUUUGCAAGGGCCUUGCUUCACCAUGUGUUCACAGAGGAGGGGCUCAUGGGCCAUUUGGGCUUUGGAAAUAACACCAAGGGGCAAAAAAGGCUCUUGACCCCACCAGGGUCAGUGCUGUU